CAGGGGCCACCUCCCGGACGCACCCUGCAGCUUCUGAGCACCGACACGGGCCGCCGGUCCGGGGACCUUCCUCAGUGUGCGGCUAACGCCGGCGCGCAGCCCCCUCAGCUUACCUCUCCCUCUCGCGGCCCGAAACGUGGGUUGUAGAUGAAGAAGCUCAACAGCGCCGGCGGGAACUGCUUUUCCUGGGCUGCCCAAGUCCCUGUCCCGGCCGCCGCUGCCGCCAUUCCGGCCGGGCCCCCACUUCGGGAGGCUCGCCUCCGCCCGCUCGGAGACCGCAGCCUUAGGGAACACCGCACUUCCGCCUCCCUAGCCGUCGGCCCGGAAGAGGUCGAGACUGACCCAGAAGAAAAACCGCAGUGCGCUGUCCUUUUCUGGUACGUCCGUGUAGAACCAGUUCCCUCGUAAUUUGGGGGCUGUGGUGUUUUUUAUUUUAUUAACUCUUGGUUGACUGUCAUGGCUAAAGGCGAAGACCACGAAUUUCAAGAGAAACGUAACAGUGAAUGGUGGGGUUUUUUUUUUUGUUUGUUUGUUGUUUCUUUUGUUUGUUUGUUUUGAUAGGGUUUCACUAUGUAGACCUGGCUGGCUUCGAACUCACGGAGAUCCUAGUGCCUGUGCUUUCUGAGUGCUGGCAUUAAACGGUAUUUUUGAAGUGUGAAAA
rnacentral:lncRNA from 14 species